UCGCCUAUAGUGUAAUUGGCAACACGGCGCACUGAAAAUGCGUUAUUCUAGGUUCAAAUCCUAGUGGGCGAG
rnacentral:tRNA from 4 species